GAUGAACGCUGGCGGCGUGCCUAAUACAUGCAAGUCGAGCGAACAGAUAAGGAGCUUGCUCCUUUGACGUUAGCGGCGGACGGGUGAGUAACACGUGGGUAACCUACCUAUAAGACUGGGAUAACUUCGGGAAACCGGAGCUAAUACCGGAUAACAUUUGGAACCGCAUGGUUCUAAAGUGAAAGAUGGUUUUGCUAUCACUUAUAGAUGGACCCGCGCCGUAUUAGCUAGUUGGUAAGGUAACGGCUUACCAAGGCAACGAUACGUAGCCGACCUGAGAGGGUGAUCGGCCACACUGGAACUGAGACACGGUCCAGACUCCUACGGGAGGCAGCAGUAGGGAAUCUUCCGCAAUGGGCGAAAGCCUGACGGAGCAACGCCGCGUGAGUGAUGAAGGGUUUCGGCUCGUAAAACUCUGUUAUUAGGGAAGAACAAAUGUGUAAGUAGCUGUGCACGUCUUGACGGUACCUAAUCAGAAAGCCACGGCUAACUACGUG
rnacentral:rRNA from 1 species